rnacentral:rRNA from 1 species
UACGUAGGGUGCAAGCGUUGUCCGGAAUUAUUGGGCGUAAAGAGCUCGUAGGCGGUUCGUCGCGUCGGCUGUGAAAACCCGGAGCUCAACUCCGGGCCUGCAGUCGAUACGGGCGGACUUGAGUGUUGCAGGGGAGACUGGAAUUCCUGGUGACGCGGUGAAAUGCGCAGAUAUCAGGAGGAACACCGGUGGCGAAGGCGGGUCUCUGGGCCAACUGACUGCUGAGGAGCGAAAGCGUGGGGAGCGAACAGG